CUGUCUGUAGCUCAGUUGUUAGAGCGCUGCACUGGAAUCGCAGGGACGCAGGUUCGAUUCAUGACAGAGGGC
rnacentral:tRNA from 1 species